rnacentral:rRNA from 1 species
CAAUAGCGUAUAUUAAAGUUGUUGCAGUUAAAAGCUCGUAGUUGGAUUUCGGGAUGGGCCAGUCGGUCUGCCGUAAGGUAUGUUACUGGCUGGUCUGUCCUUCUUCGCAAAGACUGCGUGUGCCCUUAAUUGUGUGUGCGUAGGAUUUGCGACGUUUACUUUGAAAAAUUAGAGUGUUCAAAGCAGGCUGACCGCUUGAAUACAUGAGCAUGGAAUAAUGAGAUAGGACUUUGGUACUAUUUUGUUGGUUUGCGCACCAAGGUAAUGAUUAAUAGGGGAUAGUUGGGGGCGAUUAGUACUUAACUGUCAGAGGUGAAAUUACUCCGA